rnacentral:rRNA from 1 species
UACAGAGGUCCCGAGCGUUGUUCGGAUUCACUGGGCGUAAAGGGUGCGUAGGUGGCGAGGUAAGUCGGAUGUGAAAGCUCGGAGCUCAACUCCGAAAUGGCAUUGGAAACUACCUUGCUCGAGGGUUGGAGGGGGGACUGGAAUACUUGGUGUAGCAGUGAAAUGCGUAGAUAUCAAGUGGAACACCAGUGGCGAAGGCGAGUCUCUGGACAUUUCCUGACGCUGAGGCACGAAAGCCAGGGGAGCGAACGGG